rnacentral:rRNA from 1 species
UACAGAGGGGGCAAGCGUUGUUCGGAAUUACUGGGCGUAAAGGGCGCGUAGGCGGCCUUCUAAGUCGAACGUGAAAUCCCUGGGCUCAACCCAGGAACUGCGUCCGAUACUGGAAGGCUUGAAUCCGGGAGAGGGAUGCGGAAUUCCAGGUGUAGCGGUGAAAUGCGUAGAUAUCUGGAGGAACACCGGUGGCGAAGGCAGCCCCCUGGGUUAACACUGACGCUCAGGCACGAAAGCGUGGGGAGCAAACAGG